rnacentral:lncRNA from 1 species
CUUUUGUUUAUUUAGACAAUAGGAAAGAUCGUAAAUUCAACAUUGUUAGUUAAUUUUAUAUCAUAACCUUAACCCAUGAUUAAAUUUCCAAGAUUCCAUACAGUUACAAUUUAGAGAAAACAAGAGUUUAGAAUUAUAACAUAGUUUAGGGACCCGUCCAAUGCCCGUACAUCACCCACACAAAUGUCUACGGAGCUUGUAAGGAUACAAAUGACAGUUAUAAUAAUACUGACAACAAGGCCCCGACCAUACCUCAAAAGAUGUACAGCAUAACCCCCAGAAGAAAAGGGGCUCACAAGAAUUUUCUGAUGGAGGAUACCCUGCUACCUUAGAUCAGCACUGUCCACAAUAAAACCACCUACCUUCAUUUAAAAAAUGUAGCACCCCCGACAAAAGGGACAUUAGUACAAUGGAAUAGCACUAGAAUAUAUAACUAAAAACCAUCAUAUUAGAAAGAACUAUCAUACAAGAGUAGGGAAAUCAUAAGAGACAAUCAAAGGUUUAACCGAACACCACAUAAUAAAAUAAAAGAAUCAUAUAACUUUCACGUAGUUUCAUUGCUUUAGUUUGGGGCAUUUCAUACUGUUCAUUAUUAUUAUUCAAAAUACUACCGCUUUCUUAAGCAGAGUUCGAUCAUAGCCUGAUCGGCUAGGUUUCCUCAUUUGAGACAUGUCCCUCAAUCACAAUCUCAUUCUCACUUUCUGAAAUUCAAUAUCAGCACAAUAUCACUAUGGCAUCUGAUCAUGGCUUGAUCGGCUAGGCCGCCAUACCAAGACAUUCCUUUCUCAUUAAUCAUCUCAUUUCAAUCUUCUUCCAUAUAUAUCAAUUCAUAGGCACUUCAGGCCAAAAUUAUCACAUAAUUUCCACUUUCUAUUUUAACCUUGCAAUUUACCAUCAUAGACACAUAAAAAAGAAAUUCAAAAUGUAAGUAUAGGUAAGAUUUCACAUAGUUGGCAUGACAAUCUCAAUUUUAAUCUUGAUGUGAAGUCUAGGACUUUCAACACAUGGUUCAUAUGCUUUGCACAUCAUUAAAUAUCUUGGAUAGUACAUAGCACAUAUUGAGGCACACCUUUCAUGUGUAUGUGUAUGUGUGUGUGUGUGUGUGUAUAUAUAUAUAUAUAUAUAUAUAUAUUUCAAAACCAAUUCAUGCGAAAUAGCAAUCAAUACAUCAAUUAAAUUUUUGUCUUACCACAUAUGCAUAUAUACCAAUGGAGCUCAAUUUCUAAGAAGAGGGGUUUUUAGCCAUACAUACCUCGAUAGGACUUUUCUUAAAUUCUUACAGAAUUCCGGCACUCUUAGCGACUUUGAUAUAUUUUAUGAGAAUUAUAAAUUGAACUAAGAAUUAGGGACAUGAUUAAGAUUAUUGCUCAUUUAAGUAUAUUACCAAGCACUAAGUGUGCAUUGUGAUUUUAGGACCCUUUUGUGAGAUAUUUUUAUCAUCUUACCCCAAAUGUUAUCUUUUUAACUCACAAUCUCCCCAUACCCUAUUAUCACUCAUGAAUAUCGGAUAAUCAACCUUUAUACCCAUGAACCCAUUUGCUAAUCACUUAUUUUAAUAGAAAUUUCGAAAUCAUAUAUUAAGGCUCAAGUUAUUACCUCUUAGGAUAAAGGCCUAGCAAAUUUUACUUGAAAGCCUUCAAUGAUUUGGGCAAGGAUUGUAGUGACUUGGUGAGAGUUAGUUCCUCCUGUCACACCUCCUUUUUCCUAUCCCUAGAAGGGUAAAAGGGAUUUUUUCCUAUUUAAGUAACUAUUGAAAUGGGAUUAUUUAUUUAACAUCAAAGUCACAACCUGGAAUAAUUUAUGGUGUCCCAAGUCACCGUUUUAAUAUCCCGAAUCGAGAAAACUGACUCUUAUUACAGUUUGCGAACACAAGAAUCCAGGUAAUAAAUUUUAUUAACCCGCAAGAAGGUGUUAGGCAUUCCUGCGCUCCGUGGUUCUAGCACGGCCUCUUUGAUCAUACUUGGGUUAAACAAAUUGUCUAAUUGCUUAUUUUAGAACCUAUGUGCAUUGAUCUUUCUCCGCUUUUUAAUUAAGAAAAUUAUCUUGAAAUCGGUCACACGCACGUGUACCCAUUUAUCCGGCACGUCAAAAACCACUUCACGCGAAUGUGUCUGUAAUUAAUAACUCUUUAUUAACGUUGAGAAAAUUUUGCUGAAGUUGCGCGAACGCAUACUCCAGCUUUGUUUUUAGAGAUCGCAACAAUCAUGUCAUGCGAAUGAGUCCACAAUCACAAUGAUAUAUUAAAUGGGCCUAGAUCAACUAUGAGUAUUUGUCCUUUUUAUAUUUAAGUCAAGAAAUUAAUACGAGGGCCAUAUGUGAUUUAAUUAUGGAUGGCACACCUCGAGCUAUACAAACUAAAAUUAACUAAUAGUCCAUGAAAACCCAUUUUUUGUUAUUAUGAAAAAAUUUAUUGAAGUUGCACGGAUGCAUACGCCGAAUUGAUUUUUAGAAUCAUGAUCAUGUUACACGAACCUAUACAUAAUCACGGUAUUAUUUUAAAUGGCCCUAAAGGAUUUCUACAAAUAUUUUAAGGUUAUGAGAUCUCUAGUCCGAUGGCUAGGUGAUUGGGCACGUGAUUGGGGAGUACUUAUUCUUUUUAAACUACUUGUUUCGAGCAUUUGGCCAAACCCAGUCCUGAAACAUGAACACUAUUAAGUGCUAAUGGGUUUUGGUCAAUUCUCACUCCCAUAUUCCAAUACAUUUCACUGUCACGAUUAUAUCAAGCAAGACAAAUGUUAAAACCAGCGAAACAUGGCAAAGAGACUAAGUAAUAGGCUAAACCAUACAUCCACAGUAUGCGAGAUUGGAAAAUCAAGGGAAAAUGGUGACAUAAACAACUAUUAUGGAAGGCAUGACCAAAGUAGUGAACUAUCCCAAGGAUUAUCUUUUGUAAAUGAAUCAAACUGAUUGAGGCAUUCAUUUUAAAUUAAAAACUUUGGUGUCAAAGUUGAUAGUAUUCAAAUAACCAGGAAAAAGGCAGACAAACACCAGCAAUUUACUGUCAGUGCAUGAUAAAGUACGCAAAAUCGUUAUGUAACGACACAAAUGACUAAACAUUAAGAAGUUGAUGACUGUAACCCCUGGUGUUCCUUCAUAAUCAAUUAAUUUCCCUUUCAUAUGCUAGUAAAUAAACCUAGCUGUGACAAUUCGCACUCGUAAAGAAUUCUCAUUUCACAAAAUACUAACUAAAAAUGAAGAUUACUGAAUUUUGCGAGUUCAUAUAAGUUGUAGAGUAUUUGGUCAUGUGUUGAAUUUCAAGCCACAAACCAUAUUCACAUGGAUAAAAUCCUAGUACGAAGGCUUCAUAUUAUUUAAACGAAAUACCAACAGCGCAGAAUUUGCACUCAAGAAAUUAUGCGAACUUGGUGCUUAAACAAUGUAGGACAACGGAAAUUUUCAGCAGCCAUAGUAAUCUAAACAAAUAAUGACUACACUUAGCUACUCUCAAAAGAUAUCCCAGCAACUCUUAUGGGACCUUUAGCAUAAACAAUGCUAAAACAAGGUUGAAGAUGUUUAGCACCAACAUCGAGUCCUAAUAGUAACAUAUAGGUCGUCAACCAAUAACUAAUUUCAAACACUUCCAUUACCUCUCUCACUUGGGAAAAUUCUAAGUAAAAGGCCAUGAAUAAUUUGAUGUGAGCUCUGACUUAAGCAGCUUAAGAGGAAGAGUCCAGGAAAUACCAAUUACGGAAGACAAUUGUUCUCAAUUUAUAAUUCAUUCAAUGACUGAAUAUCUAUAGCAGCAGCACAUAGAGGGUCCAAUGUCCAAAUAGCAUUCAUGUCUCUUAAUACCUAAUAUAUAUACUAACAUACACCUCUACAACAUUAACACAUCAUUAGGGAUUAAACAACGGAGAUAAAAAUACAGUAUCGAUACAUAUUGAAAAUCAAAUCAAAUACACAAAUCAACUAGCUCAAAAGGUACAAAUUUAUUGUUUAAACCCUUGCUAAGUUAUAACUCUUAGAUUGAAUAAGCCAUCAUGUUCAUCCAUUCUAAUACAUUAGGAGGUGAAGUAUAUAUUUGGAUUUCAAAACAAAUAGAAAUUGAUGGCUUAGCAGCAGAAUAGAAGCAGCAAUAAAGUCAGCUUAGGAAACAACAGGGAAAAUAAGAUUUGAACCAGAUUUAAAUCAGCAGAAAUAGUAAGCAGUUCCCAAUAAUCAGAAACAUUACCCAACACUUGAAUCAAACUCUCGACAUUCAGCAAAAAUCAGAUCAUUUCAAUCAGACAGAAUACAAGAAAUAUUUCAGUAAUUGAAGAACUUCAGAAAUCAAAAGAGAGGCAAUGAAACAUUGCUUUUUUUUUACUUUUAGCCGUUUCUCUUUUCUGGACUUUCUAUCUUUUUUUUCCUUGCCUUGAAAGGAAAGAAUGAGAUGUCUUUAUAGUCAAUGCAAUAGGGCAUCUUUAGAUUUUGGUUUUUUUUAUCAAUCCUAUGCCUUUCUAAUUUUUGUUUUUGCUACUUAAUCCCUCAAAUUUUGGCUUGUUUGCCUAGUAAGGCUCUUUUUCAGCUUCUAGGAAGCUUCCUAGGUAGUUAUUUGAGAGAUUCUCACGCCGCAUUUCUAUACUACUCCCGAUUGUCCCUAUUUUUACCAUUAGUAACCAAACAAAUCAAACCUAACCCAAAGCCUUCGGGCUCAAAACAGAUAUGGGCCCUUAAUUCCCUCAAAUAUAUCUUACUACAAGCCCUAAAACUAGUCACAAAUCAGCCCAGUAACAAAUCAAGAAAAGGAUGAUAAGAUCCCCAAAAUAAUUUACAACUCUGAUUUAAACCAAAUGGGAAUCCAAAAUUAACCAUGACAAAUUCCAAUAAAAUACUAAUCUAACUACAUGAAUGAACAUCUUAAAAAUCACUGACUUUAAUUAGAUUGAAACUAAUUCGAGUCUCGUGACAGAACAAGAACUCAAAAAAAAGAAACAAAACAGGACAAGAGGAAAGCAAAGGGAGAAGGAGAGCAUUGAUGCUAACCGCAAUGGAUCGAUGAAGACGAUGAACUCGGCCAAAUGUUCUUGGUCUGGUCCAGGACGAACAACUCUCGACACGAGCCAAAAUUAAUGUUAAGUGAUUACUCUAAGUAAGAACAAUCGCUUUAUGACAUUAUUAGUCAAAUCAAGUCUUGAGAGCACAAGAAUUGAAACGUUAUUUCAUUUCUGAUUUUCCAUUCCUAUGUGGAGAUUUUUGGGGAGAUGGGCUCUGGGUUGAUGUUUGAAUGAGUGUGGGGAAUGGAUGGUAAGAUUUUAAGAUUGGUUUGGAGCUGAAAAACCAGUAAAUAUGGAAGAUUAGGGCUUCAGAUGGAGAAGAUGAAAUAACGGGAGUGUUUGGAGGAGAUGAGGAAUCUUUGAACUUUUCAGACAUAUUAACGAAAUUGGGUCUUUAGUCCCUCACUGUUGGAUAGAUGGAGAUGAAUGUCCAGGAUUAAACACUUACCAAAAC